rnacentral:sRNA from 1 species
GAGUCGUCUGCGAACAGGGCCAACCUC